GUGCUCACUUCGGCAGCACAUAGAGUAAAAUUGGAAUGAUACAGAGAAGAUUAGCAUGGCCCCUGUGCAAGGAUAAUUAAGUUGAGUUCAGGACGCCUUUUAGAUGUUU
ensembl:snRNA U6 U6 spliceosomal RNA